rnacentral:rRNA from 1 species
UACGUAGGGGCAAGCGUUAUCCGGAUUACUGGGUGUAAAGGGAGCGCAGACGGAACUGCAAGUCUGAUGUGAAAGCCCGGGGCUCAACCGCGGGACUGCAUCGGAUACUGUGGAUCUGGAGUGCCGGAGGGGCAAGCGGAAUUCCUGGUGUAGCGGUGAAAUGCGUAGAUAUCAGGAGGAACACCGGCGGCGAAGGCGGCUUGCUGGACGGCAACUGACGUUGAGGCUCGAAAGCGUGGGGAGCAAACAGGAUUAGAUACCCCCGUAGU